GAGUUUGAUCCUGGCUCAGAUUGAACGCUGGCGGCAGGCCUAACACAUGCAAGUCGAGCGGUAGAGAGGUGCUUGCAUCUCCUGAGAGCGGCGGACGGGUGAGUAAUGCCUAGGAAUCUGCCUAGUGGUGGGGGAUAACGUUCGGAAACGGACGCUAAUACCGCAUACGUCCUACGGGAGAAAGCGGGGGAUCUUCGGACCUCGCGCCAUUAGAUGAGCCUAGGUCGGAUUAGCUAGUUGGUGAGGUAAUGGCUCACCAAGGCGACGAUCCGUAACUGGUCUGAGAGGAUGAUCAGUCACACUGGAACUGAGACACGGUCCAGACUCCUACGGGAGGCAGCAGUGGGGAAUUUUGGACAAUGGGCGCAAGCCUGAUCCAGCCAUGCCGCGUGAGUGAAGAAGGCCUUCGGGUUGUAAAGCUCUUUCAGCCGGAAAGAAAUCAUGCUUACUAAUACUAAGUGUGGAUGACGGUACCGGAAGAAGAAGCACCGGCUAACUACGUGCCAGCAGCCGCGGUAAUACGUAGGGUGCGAGCGUUAAUCGGAAUUACUGGGCGUAAAGCGUGCGCAGGCGGUUCCGUAAGACAGAUGUGAAAUCCCCGGGCUUAACCUGGGAACUGCAUUUGUGACUGCGAGACUAGAGUGUAGCAGAGGGGGGUAGAAUUCCACGUGUAGCAGUGAAAUGCGUAGAUAUGUGGAGGAAUACCGAUGGCGAAGGCAGCCCCCUGGGCUAACACUGACGCUCAUGCACGAAAGCGUGGGGAGCAAACAGGAUUAGAUACCCUGGUAGUCCACGCCCUAAACGAUGUCAACUAGGUGUUGGGAGGGUUAAACCUCUUAGUGCCGUAGCUAACGCGUGAAGUAGACCGCCUGGGGAGUACGGUCGCAAGAUUAAAACUCAAAGGGAUUGACGGGGACCCGCACAAGCGGUGGAUGAUGUGGAUUAAUUCGAUGCAACGCGAAAAACCUUACCUACCCUUGACAUGUACAGAAUGCCGAAGAGAUUUGGCGGUGCUCGCAAGAGAACUGUAACACAGGUGCUGCAUGGCUGUCGUCAGCUCGUGUCGUGAGAUGUUGGGUUAAGUCCCGCAACGAGCGCAACCCUUGUCAUUAGUUGCUACGAAAGGGCACUCUAAUGAGACUGCCGGUGACAAACCGGAGGAAGGUGGGGAUGACGUCAAGUCCUCAUGGCCCUUAUGGGUAGGGCUUCACACGUCAUACAAUGGUACAUACAGAGGGCCGCCAACCCGCGAGGGGGAGCUAAUCCCAGAAAGUGUAUCGUAGUCCGGAUUGUAGUCUGCAACUCGACUACAUGAAGUUGGAAUCGCUAGUAAUCGCGGAUCAGCAUGUCGCGGUGAAUACGUUCCCGGGUCUUGUACACACCGCCCGUCACACCAUGGGAGUGGAAUCUGGCAGAAGUAGGUAGCCUAACCGCAAGGGGGGCGCUUACCACGCUGGGUUUCAUGACUGGGGUGAAGUCGUAACAAGGUAACCGUA
rnacentral:rRNA from 1 species